AAUAUCUUUUCAGAAAGUAUUCAGAACAUAGAAUUAUCCUCUGAUUAUGAACUUAAAUCAGGCACAUCCAUGGCUGCUCCUCAUGCAGCUGGAAUUGCAGCAAUGCUAAAAGGCGCACAUCCUGAAUGGAGUCCUUCAGCUAUUCGCUCCGCCAUGAUGACCACAGCAAACCAUUUGGAUAGUACUCAAAAGCCUAUUAGAGAGGAUGAUAACAUGAUUGCCACACCACUAGAUAUGGGAGCGGGGCAUGUUGACCCGAACAGAGCUCUUGAUCCCGGCCUAGUAUAUGAUGCCACUCCACAAGAUUACAUAAAUCUUAUAUGCUCUAUGAAUUUCACAGAAGAGCAAUUCAAAACAUUUGCAAGAUCAUCAGCCAAUUACAACAACUGCUCAAAUCCAUCAGCUGAUCUCAAUUACCCAUCAUUCAUCGCCUUGUACCCGUUCAGCCUCGAGGGGAACUUCACCUGGUUGGAACAGAAAUUCAGGAGGACCCUUACAAAUGUUGGUAAAGGUGGAGCAACUUAUAAAGUGAAGAUUGAAACUCCUAAGAAUUCCACAGUUUCAGUGUCUCCGCGAACUCUGGUGUUUAAAGGGAAAAAUGAUAAGCAAAGUUAUAAUUUGACAAUUCGAUAUAUAGGUGAUAGUGAUCAGAGUAAAAACUUUGGGUCGAUCACUUGGGUUGAAGAAAAUGGCAACCACACUGUUCGUAGUCCUAUAGUGACUUCAACCAUUAUUGAGGUAUGGGGUAGCGAAGACUAAGCGGAAAUAAGAUACAAGUAAUAUAGUACGUAAUAUAUGAUGCUAAAUGUAAAGUUGUUAUCCAGUAAAUAAACAAGAACAACUUUGAAC
rnacentral:misc_RNA from 1 species